rnacentral:rRNA from 1 species
UACGUAGGGUACGAGCGUUGUCCGGAAUUAUUGGGCGUAAAGGGCUCGUAGGCGGUCUGUCGCGUCGGGAGUGAAAACUCAGGGCUUAACCCUGAGCCUGCUUCCGAUACGGGCAGACUAGAGGUAUGCAGGGGAGAACGGAAUUCCUGGUGUAGCGGUGGAAUGCGCAGAUAUCAGGAGGAACACCGGUGGCGAAGGCGGUUCUCUGGGCAUUACCUGACGCUGAGGAGCGAAAGUGUGGGGAGCGAACAGG